CCAGACUCCUACGGGAGGCAGCAGUGGGGAAUAUUGCACAAUGGGGGGAACCCUGAUGCAGCGACGCCGCGUGGGUGAAGAAGCGCCUCGGCGCGUAAAGCCCUGUCAGCAGGGAAGAAAAUGACGGUACCUGAAGAAGAAGCCCCGGCUAACUACGUGCCAGCAGCCGCGGUAAUACGUAGGGGGCAAGCGUUAUCCGGAUUUACUGGGUGUAAAGGGGGCGCAGACGGCGAUGCAAGCCAGGAGUGAAAGCCCGGGGCCCAACCCCGGGACUGCUCUUGGAACUGCGUGGCUGGAGCGCAGGAGGGGCAGGCGGAAUUCCUGGUGUAGCGGUGAAAUGCGUAGAUAUCAGGAGGAACACCGGUGGCGAAGGCGGCCUGCUGGACUGCAACUGACGUUGAGGCCCGAAAGCGUGGGGAGCAAACAGGAUUAGAUACCCCUGUAC
rnacentral:rRNA from 1 species